rfam:Homo sapiens chromosome X, GRCh38 reference primary assembly.
GCCGGGUGUGGUGGCGCAUGCCUGUAAUCCCAGCUACUCAGGAGGCUGAGGCAGGAGAAUCGCUUGAACCCAGGAAGCAGAGGUUGCAGUGAGCCAAGAUCGCGCCACUGCACUCCAGCCUGGGUGACAGAGCGAGACUCUGUCUCAA